rnacentral:rRNA from 1 species
ACGUAGGGUGCGAGCGUUAAUCGGAAUUACUGGGCGUAAAGGGUGCGUAGGUGGUUCGUUAAGUCUGCUGUGAAAUCCCCGGGCUCAACCUGGGAAUGGCAGUGGAUACUGGCGAGCUAGAGUGCGGUAGAGGGUAGUGGAAUUCCCGGUGUAGCAGUGAAAUGCGUAGAGAUCGGGAGGAACACCAGUGGCGAAGGCGGCUACCUGGACCAGCACUGACACUGAAGCACGAAAGCGUGGGGAGCAAACAGGA